rnacentral:lncRNA from 1 species
ACAAUGAAGUUUGUGGUUAAGAAAAAAAUUAAAGAAAUUUUAAACAUACUUUAAAAAAAUUUCCAGAUCCCCCUGGAAAUCCUGAGCCAAGAGAAAAUAUUUGGGAAAAGUGACAGAAAUGGCCCUCAUGUGCCAUCCCGGGAAAGAGAGAGGACACUUCUUAGGGUUGCCCAGGGGCACAGUGAAAAAAUGUCACAGUGCAAUCCACAGAAGACAAUGGACUCAACUAUCAAGACUUGAUGACCAGACCCAAAUUAACAGGCUACUUCUGACGUCAGACAAUUGA